UACGUAGGGUGCAAGCGUUAAUCGGAAUUACUGGGCGUAAAGCGUGCGCAGGCGGCUUUGCAAGACAGAUGUGAAAUCCCCGGGCUUAACCUGGGAACUGCAUUUGUGACUGCAUGGCUGGAGUGCGGCAGAGGGGGAUGGAAUUCCGCGUGUAGCAGUGAAAUGCGUAGAUAUGCGGAGGAACACCGAUGGCGAAGGCAAUCCCUGGGCCUGCACUGACGCUCAUGCACGAAAGCGUGGGGAGCAAACAGU
rnacentral:rRNA from 1 species